rnacentral:rRNA from 1 species
CAAAUGACUCUCGGCAAUGGAUAUCUCGGCUCUUGCAUCGAUGAAGAACGUAGUGAAAUGCGAUACUUGGUGUGAAUUGCAGAAUCUCGUGAACCAUUGAGUCUUUGAACGCAAGUUGUGCCCAAGGCCUUGUGGCCGAGGGCACGCCUGCUUGGGCGUCAUGG